rnacentral:rRNA from 1 species
ACUCCUACGGGAGGCAGCAGUCGAGGAUCUUCGUCAAUGGGCGCAAGCCUGAACGAGCGAUGCCGCGUGCGCGAUGAAGGCCUUCGGGUUGUAAAGCGCUGUCGAGGGGGGGAAAAGCCCGCAAGGGUCUGAUCUAUCCCUGGAGGAAGCUCGGGCUAAGUUCGUGCCAGCAGCCGCGGUAAGACGAACCGAGCGAACGUUGUUCGGAAUCACUGGGCUUAAAGGGCGCGUAGGCGGGCUGUCAAGUCUGGGGUGAAAUCCCGCGGCUCAACCGUGGAACUGCCUUAGAUACUGACGGCCUCGAGGGAGGUAGGGGCGAGCGGAACUCUCAGUGGAGCGGUGAAAUGCGUUGAUGUUGGGAGGAACUCCGGUGGCGAAAGCGGCUCGCUGGGCCUCUUCUGACGCUGAUGCGCGAAGGCUAGGGGAGCAAACGGGAUUAGAUACCCCGGUAGUCCUAGCCCUAAACGAUGGGUACUGGGUAGUAGACUAGACAUGGGUUUACUGCCGCAGCA